rnacentral:rRNA from 1 species
CGAGCGGACAGAUGGGAGCUUGCUCCCUGAUGUUAGCGGCGGACGGGUGAGUAACACGUGGGUAACCUGCCUGUAAGACUGGGAUAACUCCGGGAAACCGGGGCUAAUACCGGAUGGUUGUUUGAACCGCAUGGUUCAAACAUAAAAGGUGGCUUCGGCUACCACUUACAGAUGGACCCGCGGCGCAUUAGCUAGUUGGUGAGGUAACGGCUCACCAAGGCAACGAUGCGUAGCCGACCUGAGAGGGUGAUCGGCCACACUGGGACUGAGACACGGCCCAGACUCCUACGGGAGGCAGCAGUAGGGAAUCUUCCGCAAUGGACGAAAGUCUGACGGAGCAACGCCGCGUGAGUGAUGAAGGUUUUCGGAUCGUAAAGCUCUGUUGUUAGGGAAGAACAAGUACCGUUCGAAUAGGGCGGUACCUUGACGGUACCUAACCAGAAAGCCACGGCUAACUACGUGCCAGCAGCCGCGGUAAUACGUAGGUGGCAAGCGUUGUCCGGAAUUAUUGGGCGUAAAGGGCUCGCAGGCGGUUUCUUAAGUCUGAUGUGAAAGCCCCCGGCUCAACCGGGGAGGGUCAUUGGAAACUGGGGAACUUGAGUGCAGAAGAGGAGAGUGGAAUUCCACGUGUAGCGGUGAAAUGCGUAGAGAUGUGGAGGAACACCAGUGGCGAAGGCGACUCUCUGGUCUGUAACUGACGCUGAGGAGCGAAAGCGUGGGGAGCGAACAGGAUUAGAUACCCUGGUAGUCCACGCCGUAAACGAUGAGUGCUAAGUGUU